rnacentral:rRNA from 1 species
CUUAUGGAGGGGGAUAACUACUGGAAACGGUAGCUAAUACCGCGUAAUGUUUUAGGAGUAAAGGGUGGGACCAUUGGGCCACCUGCCAUAAGAUGAGCCCAAGUGGGAUUAGGUAGUUGGUGAGGUAAAGGCUCACCAAGCCCGCGAUCUCUAGCUGGUCUGAGAGGAUGACCAGCCACACUGGAACUGAGACACGGUCCAGACUCCUACGGGAGGCAGCAGUGGGGAAUAUUGCACAAUGGGGGGAACCCUGAUGCAGCCAUGCCGCGUGAAUGAAGAAGGCCUUCGGGUUGUAAAGUUCUUUCGGUGACGAGGAAGGGGAUUGUUUUAAUAGANCAGUUCAUUGACGUUAAUCACAGAAGAAGCACCGGCUAACUCCGUGCCAGCAGCCGCGGUAAUACGGGGGGUGCGAGCGUUAAUCGGAAUAACUGGGCGUAAAGGGCACGCAGGCGGKKKUUUAAGUGAGKUGUGAAAKCCCCGGGCUUAACCUGGGAAUUGCAUUUCAGACUGGGCAUCUAGAGUACUUUAGGGAGGGGUAGNNUUCCACGUGUAGCGGUGAAAUGCGUAGAGAUGNGGAGGNNUACCGAAGGCGAAGGCAGCCCCUUGGGAAUGUACUGACGCUCAUGUGCGAAAGCG